rnacentral:rRNA from 1 species
AUUGAACGCUGGCGGCAGGCUUAACACAUGCAAGUCGAGCGGAGAUGAGGUGCUUGCACCUUAUCUUAGCGGCGGACGGGUGAGUAAUGCUUAGGAAUCUGCCUAUUAGUGGGGGACAACAUUCCGAAAGGAAUGCUAAUACCGCAUACGUCCUACGGGAGAAAGCAGGGGAUCUUCGGACCUUGAGCUAAUAGAUGAGCCUAAGUCGGAUUAGCUAGUUGGUGGGGUAAAGGCCUACCAAGGCGACGAUCUGUAGCGGGUCUGAGAGGAUGAUCCGCCACACUGGGACUGAGACACGGCCCAGACUCCUACGGGAGGCAGCAGUAGGGAAUAUUGGACAAUGGGGGGAACCCUGAUCCAGCCAUGCCGCGUGUGUGAAGAAGGCCUUAUGGUUGUAAAGCACUUUAAGCGAGGAGGAGGCUACUGAGACUAAUACUCUUGGAUAGUGGACGUUACUCGCAGAAUAAGCACCGGCUAACUCUGUGCCAGCCGCCGCCGUAAUAC